CAGUAGCCACGGGAAUACGAGGGGGGCAAGCGUUGUUCGGAAUUAUUGGGCGUAAAGGGUGCGUAGGCGGUUUGAUAAGUCAUCUGUGAAAUCUAUGGGCUCAACCCAUAGUCUGCAGGCGAAACUGUCGGGCUUGAGAGUGGGAGAGGUGAGUGGAAUUUCCGGUGUAGCGGUGAAAUGCGUAGAUAUCGGAAGGAACACCUGUGGCGAAAGCGGCUCACUGGACCAUUUCUGACGCUGAUGCACGAAAGCUAGGGGAGCAAACAGGAUUAGAUACCCCGGUAGUCCCUGUCUCUUAUAC
rnacentral:rRNA from 1 species